rnacentral:rRNA from 1 species
AAGGUUACACUGUCUCCUUUCUCUAAUCAGUAAAACUAAUCUUCCCGUGAAGAAGCGGGGAUCCUUAUAUAAGACGAGAAGACCCUAUGGAGCUUUAAACGAAAUAACAUCUACCAACUCACCUAACAAUUUCAGAAAAUUAACACUAAACUUGGUAUAAUGGUUACUAGUUUUAGGUUGGGGUGACCGCGGAGCAAAAAACAACCUCCGCAUUGAAUGGACUUACACUCCUAAACAAAAAGCCACAACUUUAUGUAUCAACACAUUGACAUCCAUUGACCCAUUAAUUUGAUCAACGAACCAAGUUACCCUAGGGAUAACAGCGCAAUCCAUUUCAAGAGCUCCUAUCGACAAAUGG